rnacentral:tRNA from 1 species
ACUUUUAAUGGACAACCAGCCGUCCG